rnacentral:sRNA from 1 species
ACAAAUCUCACUUUGUGUAAUUACACACACGUAUCGGCACAUAUUCCGGGGUGCCCCUAGGGGUCGGUAAUAUGGGAUACGUGGAGGCAUAACC